GAUUUUAAUGUGUUACCGAAAUAGACAAGACACACACUUCAACACGACACAACAGGUCAGAAGGCAAUGAUCCGGAGCAGGAAUACAUGGAAUGGUCGUCCAGGGUGGGUGUCGCCUGGCUCAAUCCUUCCAGGAACUCUUGCUGGAAUACCACAAGCAAUUCUGCAAGAGGAUGGUGAAGCAAUGAGGCAACUUAAUUUGUUAAGCAGUCAGCAGAGCUGCUUAUAAAAUAUUUACGGUUCCGAGACGUAACCACACAAAGGAAGGUCUUCAGAGUACAUAGCAAACCGCACGUCAACACAACCCCCUCGUUAGCAAGGCUGUCUACUUGUGCCAGGAAUAAACUAUUUACAACAUUUGAAGAAAAUCGGAGCCGUUUUCGAGAUCUUUGUGCAAGCAAGCAUACAAGCAAACAUUACUCAUAUUAGAAUAUAGGAUACAUAAAAUAGAUUGUAAAGUACAGAAUUUGUCUGGUUAAGUUAAAAAUUAAUUGUGCUGAGAAAGACUGUAUGGCACAAAUAACUUAAUAUUCAUAUUAUAUUGGAAGGAAAGCACUCAAUGUUUUAAACCACUCUGGCAGAUAGGUUUUUAAUUUAUGACUGGAGGACAGUGAGAUAAUACCUGUACAACUGAAGUUAGCGUGUAAUAGUAAACUAGCGGCAUUGUUUAUUGUAUUAGGUUGUAAAGCCAAGCUACGGUCGGUCCUCCUGGUACUGUUGUUUAAAUGACCAUCACCUCAUAGUAAAAGUAAUGGGAUAAUGAAACUUACUACUUAACUAAUAUAACUGAUGUAACUCCCUAUUUUUAUUCAUGAAUUUUCUUAGUUAUAGCAAUCCAUCUUCCAGCCCUUGAACUCCUUUUAUGAAAAAAUCUUACCUUUAUCUGUAGUCCGAAAUUAUCAUCAAUAGUCAGCACACAGUUUUGUUGCAAGCGCAACACUUUCAAAGUAAACAACAAGUCAAACCAUAAAAAAAAAUAAAACAACAAAAAACAUUUAAUGAUAUGCUUGCAUAAAACUAUUCAGCAGCAUAGUUGUUGAUGCAAAUUUUGGACUAAGACUGAGGUAAGGGAGCGUAAUCUGUUUCUUAAUUGUACAUAACUACUCACAGACUUUGUUGUAAGUUGUAAGCAGCAGAAACAUCUCAAGAAGAUUGAAAAAAGUUUUCAUGAAGAUCCCUUUUGUCUUCGAGCUAUAAACUCCCUCUUAAAUUCAACUAGUAUAAUGAGUGGUUUUGUUGGUUUAUCAUUUAAAUCCAUGAGCAACUAUGCUACAGUAAUAACAGUAUUCAUUGAAAAAUAUAUUGAAGUCCUCAGGUAUAUUUUUUGGAACUUGUCAAUGGUUAGUCAAACUAUUUUCAUAACUAAGUAAAAAUGUGUAAAAUGUAUGGUAAACCAAAUACAAUUAAUGUUCAAAAUUAUUUUGGCUAUAAAGAGACAAACAUGCUGUUCUUCAUGUUUAAAAAACUUGGGUAUCUUCCAACCUCCAAACUCAUUUAUGUACUUUUUACUAUGAAUGCUUAAACUAAUCUUCAAAAUGCAAAUAUCAAUU